AGAGCGAACGCUGGCGGCAGGCUUAACACAUGCAAGUCGAGCGGGCGUAGCAAUACGUCAGCGGCAGACGGGUGAGUAACGCGUGGGAACAUACCUUUUGGUUCGGAACAACACAGGGAAACUUGUGCUAAUACCGGAUAAGCCCUUACGGGGAAAGAUUUAUCGCCGAAAGAUUGGCCCGCGUCUGAUUAGCUAGUUGGUGAGGUAAUGGCUCACCAAGGCGACGAUCAGUAGCUGGUCUGAGAGGAUGAUCAGCCACAUUGGGACUGAGACACGGCCCAAACUCCUACGGGAGGCAGCAGUGGGGAAUAUUGGACAAUGGGCGCAAGCCUGAUCCAGCCAUGCCGCGUGAGUGAUGAAGGCCCUAGGGUUGUAAAGCUUCUUUUGUGCGGGAAGAUAAUGACGGUACCGCAAGAAUAAGCCCGGCUAACUUCGCGCCAGCAGCCGC
rnacentral:rRNA from 1 species